CCUACGGGGGACAGCAGUGGGGAAUAUUGCACAAUGGGGGAAACCCUGAUGCAGCGACGCCGCGUGAGUGAAGAAGUAUCUCGGUAUGUAAAGCUCUAUCAGCAGGGAAGAAAAAAGACUGUACCUGACUAAUAAUCCCCGGCUAACUACGUGCCAGCAGCCGCGGUAAUACGUAGGGGGCAAGCGUUAUCCGGAUUUACUGGGUGUAAAGGGAGCGUAGACGGCUGUGUAAGUCUGAAGUGAAAGCCCAGGGCUCAACCCUGGGACUGCUUUGGAAACUGGGGAGCUAGAGUGCUGGAGACGUAAGUGGAAUUCCUGGUGUAGCGGUGAAAUGCGUAGAUAUUAAGAGGAACACCAGUGGCGAAGGCGGCUUACUGGACAGUAACUGACGUUGAGGCUCGAAAGCGUGGGGAGCAAACAGGAUUAGAUACCCGGGUAGUC
rnacentral:rRNA from 1 species